rnacentral:rRNA from 1 species
UACGUAGGGCGCAAGCGUUGUCCGGAAUUAUUGGGCGUAAAGAGCUCGUAGGCGGUUUGUCGCGUCUGCCGUGAAAGUCCGGGGGCUCAACUCCGGAUCUGCGGUGGGUACGGGGCAGGCUAGAGUUCGGUAGGGGGAGACUGGAAUUCCUGGUGUAGCGGUGAAAAUGCGCAGAUAUCAGGAGGAACACCGGUGGCGAAGGCGGGGUCACUGGACCGGAACUGACGCUGAGGCGCGAAAAGCGUGGGGGGAGCAAAACAGGG